UACAGAGGUCCCAAGCGUUGUUCGGAUUCAUUGGGCGUAAAGGGUGCGUAGGCGGCGCGGUAAGUCGGGUGUGAAAUCUCGGAGCUUAACUCCGAAACUGCAUUCGAUACUGCCGUGCUUGAGGACUGGAGAGGAGACUGGAAUUUACGGUGUAGCGGUGAAAUGCGUAGAUAUCGUAAGGAAGACCAGUGGCGAAGGCGGGUCUCUGGACAGUUCCUGACGCUGAGGCACGAAGGUCAGGGGAGCGAACGGG
rnacentral:rRNA from 1 species